rnacentral:rRNA from 1 species
UGGGGAAUUUUGGACAAUGGGGGAAACCCUGAUCCAGCCAUCCCGCGUGUGCGAUGAAGGCCUUCGGGUUGUAAAGCACUUUUGGCAGGAAAGAAACGUCAUGGGUUAAUACCCCGUGAAACUGACGGUACCUGCAGAAUAAGCACCGGCUAACUACGUGCCAGCAGCCGCGGUAAUACGUAGGGUGCAAGCGUUAAUCGGAAUUACUGGGCGUAAAGCGUACGCAGGCGGUUCGGAAAGAAAGAUGUGAAAUCCCAGAGCUCAACUUUGGAACUGCAUUUUUAACUACCGGGCUAGAGUGUGUCAGAGGGAGGUGGAAUUCCGCGUGUAGCAGUGAAAUGCGUAGAUAUGCGGAGGAACACCGAUGGCGAAGGCAGCCUCCUGGGAUAACACUGACGCUCAUGCACGAAAGCGUGGGGAGCAAACAAG